UCUUUUAGAUCUCGAAGAAGAGGAUUGCAGCACAAACCCUUUGCGUUGAUCUGACAUGAUCUGAAUAGGACACUAAGAAGAGAUGAAGAAAUCUUUUUCUUCUUUUCUUUCUCUCUCUCUCUAAACUCUCUCUAGAUCACAUCUAUGGAUGACGUGAGGCAUGGAGAUGGAAGAAGGGAAGGCAGAAGGGGGUCUGAUAAAGAAGUCAUGCGGCA
rnacentral:lncRNA from 1 species